UUGCUUGGUGGAUCAGUGGCGAACGGGUGAGUAACACGUGAGCAACCUGCCCUGAACUCUGGGAUAAGCGCUGGAAACGGCGUCUAAUACUGGAUAUGAGCUGCGGAGGCAUCUUCGUGGUUGGAAAGAUUUUUCGGUUUGGGAUGGGCUCGCGGCCUAUCAGCUUGUUGGUGAGGUAAUGGCUCACCAAGGCGUCGACGGGUAGCCGGCCUGAGAGGGUGACCGGCCACACUGGGACUGAGACACGGCCCAGACUCCUACGGGAGGCAGCAGUGGGGAAUAUUGCACAAUGGGCGGAAGCCUGAUGCAGCAACGCCGCGUGAGGGAUGACGGCCUUCGGGUUGUAAACCUCUUUUAGCAGGGAAGAAGCGAAAGUGACGGUACCUGCAGAAAAAGCGCCGGCUAACUACGUGCCAGCAGCCGCGGUAAUACGUAGGGCGCAAGCGUUAUCCGGAAUUAUUGGGCGUAAAGAGCUCGUAGGCGGUUUGUCGCGUCUGCUGUGAAAACCCGAGGCUCAACCUCGGGCCUGCAGUGGGUACGGGCAGACUAGAGUGCGGUAGGGGAGAUUGGAAUUCCUGGUGUAGCGGUGGAAUGCGCAGAUAUCAGGAGGAACACCGAUGGCGAAGGCAGAUCUCUGGGCCGUAACUGACGCUGAGGAGCGAAAGGGUGGGGAGCAAACAGGCUUAGAUACCCUGGUAGUCCACCCCGUAAACGUUGGGAACUAGUUGUG
rnacentral:rRNA from 1 species